CCCUUUGAAAAUUACAUAAACGGGGAAGCAACAAAAUAUAAAUAGAUAUCAUGAUAUGAGAACAUAAUAGACAUUAAUAAUCUGCUAGCAAUGGAAAGACAAACAUAACGGCAUGAACUAAAUCAACCAGUGCGCACAACUAGUUACAAACAACAUCCUUUGACAAGAAGUUUCUAAUUAAAUCAUGACUGCGCCUAAGCAGCGUUAUUAUGAGAGUGAAGGUGGAUGUGCUGCUACUUCCCACUUCCCUUGAUGAGCAACAAACACCUGCAUUGAGUAAUGCAAGAGUGAGAUGAAACAUCUCAGCAAGCGAAUUGUUUUGACAAGAUAUUUAAACCACAAAUUGAAUUAAUCAACAUUUUAAAAGAAUCACAAUUAAGAUAAGAAAUUCCUGUAGAUAUAAAACUCAGUAGUCUCAAUAUAACCAAUACCAUCUCAUUUCCUUAAACAACCACAAUAGUUUGUAUAACACUUCCCUGCGUCAACAAUACCUGCAAAUAUCACUUCAAUGUAUGCAUAGGAACACAAAGUGUAGGUACUCUGUCUUCAUACCUCUGAGGGUAUAAAACCACAUCAUAUGCAAAUAUCACUUCAAUGAAUGCAUAUGAAUGCAAUGCAUAUGUCUUCUGCCUUCAUACCUCUAAGGGUAUGAAGCCGCAUCGUACCCCUCCUCGGGCAACGUAUGCUAAGUUGUACCGGUACGGUCGGACCAUAGGUCACGACCCAACUUCAGAUGCAAGUGAAUCAUGCAAUGUAUAUGGCAUGCUUCAUUUAUCAAUAUACUUCACUUCCUUCACAUACAAUACAACCUCAAAUAAUACUUCAUUUACCUUCAGAUACAAUACCAACCUCAAAUAAUACUUCAUUUACCUUCAGAUACAAUACCAACCUCAAAUAAUACUUCAUUUACCUUCAGGGGUGUGAAUUAAUCUCAUGAGUCAUACUCGAAUCAUAAUCAUCAUCAAUAUAUGAUUGAGCAUCAGUAUAAUGCAAGCAAGUAAAGCAUCACCAUAGAGUCCAAUUAUGAAAGAAUCCAAUACUUCUGAAUAUUAGAGUGUAGGCAAUAGAAAUAACAGGUCAGAACGGAAGCAACCACCGCUACAUUCACUUGCCUUCAUCGAAGAAGAAAAAUGUACUAGGCAUGAUCUGGAGUGUAGCCACCUGCUAGCGGGCAUAAAACUUAGUACAAAUAUUUCACAAACAUUUGCCAACAAUCAACAAAUCGAUCCUACACCUGAAACCAAGACCUGGUGGAAAACCUCCCACUCUGAACCACAUGCCAUACAACAGCAAUGUUGUUUGUUAAUUUUGUAUCUUUAGAAUUAUAACAGUGGUGAUAUCAAACACAUACUCCAUGAGUAUCUACAAAAAAUAUUCUACAACUUCGGUAUUCGAUGGAUAAUAAAAUUAUGCCAUCUAUAAGUUCUAAAACAUCUAACAAGAUAACUGACUGAAUCUGUUUUAGACAGCAGCAUAGUUAACUUUCAAAAUUCGAUAUCUCACAAACUACUCAACCAAAAAUCAUGAAAUUCUGCUGAAAGUAAGAAUUUUUAUCCCUCUACAAAAGUCUCCAUAGCUGGGAGAGCCAAUUCGGCCAUUUACUUGAUGAAACCUACCAGUGAACAGACCCGCUCAUUUCUGUCAGACUAACAGAAACAGCCACAGUAAAACAAACAUAACUGAAGUUUCAUAAUUCAUAUGAAUGCACUCUUUAACAAUCUGGAAAGCUUAUGAAAUUAUCUACAUCUUUUCUUACAAACCAAAGGUUUAAUUCUGUUGAUAAAAUUGCAUAAAUCUUAAGAGAACAGAUUCUGCACAGAAUUAAGAGACUGAAAAACUGCUAUAAUCAAACUGCAAUAACUCUCUGAUCUGAUGUCCGAUUGAGGUGUUCUUCGCGGCCACGGAAAGAUCUACAAAUUAUCUACGACUUAUAUAUAGACUUUUUAUUUUUUUGAGGCCUCUAAGACCACGGAAAACUGGGAUUAACAGAAACUGUUGAAUCUGCCAUUCUGCAGAAAACUAAAUUCGAGAUCAAAACAUAACCCCACAUCUAAUCCAACCUCUAAUCCUUUAAUUCUCAUGAUCCACAACCUCCAAAAGCACAUAAUUACAGGGAGGAACAAGGAUCUCAUCCAUACCUAGGGUUUCCCCAAGAAAUUUUGCAAGAAGAGAUGGGGAAGAACAUCUCCUUGAUCCUCUCUGCCCCUUCAACUCAAUAUUUGUGCUCCUCCUCUUCUCGAUCCUUGCUGCGCGGGGGGAGAUCUAGAGGGAGGAGGAAGCCGUGGAGAGGGGCUGCCAUGGGAGGAGAGGACAGCCAGCCCAAGGGAAAAGAAGAGAGGGGCGGCCAAGUGUGGGAGGGGGGAAAGGGGUGGCGGCCAAGUAGGGGCAAAAGGGGGAAAAGACCACCACUAGGGUUUUCUUUGCGGGAGAAAAGAAGCGACGCCACAGAUGACUCCGACUUAGCAUCCAACGGCCCACAACCCUUUUCCUACAUCCACGCACCGAAGAUCAACCUUUGGCAACAUUUUUUUGGGAUAUUACACUCUACCAGGGGGCAGCUGCAAUCCAUUGGGGAGAAGGGGAGGGGGCGGCUAGGGUUGGGGAGGAGAGGGGGGGGGCUCCCAUCCACCGGAUCGAGAUCAAUGGCCCAAACUCGCUCUUUCCUUUGAGCUCCCGACCCCAGCGAAAAAAUGCCAAAAGAUCUACUGUUUUCUGAGGAAUGCCUCCUUAAACUCCAAACCCCAAUGCCGUAGAACAUGAAAGAAAAGAGAAAAAGAAGUUUAACUUCUUUUCAGAAAAUUGGGGUAUCACACUCUACCCCCCUUAAAAAGAAUUCGUCCUCGAAUUCGUCCACUCCAAACAAAACAUCCAUGGUACCCCAUAUAACACCACCAUUCCAAAACAUGGGUCCAUUAUUGGUCUUAAUUAACACAAGAACUUCGACCUCAGACUAAAUGUCUAAGGAAACUACACCACCUGACAUUAAGCAUGAACCAACAUGUAAUGAAGCUCAAACCAAGUCAUAGAUGCAAUCAACACUACGAUUUCACAACAUCGAAUUUGGAUGCAGCCAUACAUCAGCAUCAAUGUCUUAAAACGACACUCUUUGAUGAAGGGGUAAUAUGCACUAAGCACAACCUUUACCAACUUCAACAAUUCAUUUUAAUUUAAUGGUGAAACAUCCACACCAGAUGAAUGUAUAAGAAGAUCAAACACCUCACCUCACAGCACCACGAAACAAUUAGUUCUAUUGAAACAAAACUCCUAAUCUUCCUAAACCUUGUUCUUGCCAUAAUGAAAAGAUAAUCAUGUAAUCUAACAUUCUUUGCACCCCACCGAAAGGGAGAAAAUCUACAGAACUAAUGGAGCAAUAAAACCGACAAGAAGCCAAUAACAUUAUGCGCGGCACAGUUCAUCGAAGAAAUGCCAAAAACUCCACAUAGAGCACUGACAGCCCAACGACAACACAAUACUUGCUUAACCCAUGUCACUAUACUUCAUCCAACAACUCAACUAAGAAAAAUAUCCAAACUAGUAAGGUUAACCUACACAUAAUAUAAGUCUUCAUCUACUGUAGUUCAGAAACUUACAUUUCAUUCUAUCAUAUGAUGCACUCCGAGUACCAGACAUAAAAGGUCAAUACUAGCCCCGUAAUCCUUCACACAUUUGGAAAACAUCCCAAGCUGAUGUUAAAACCACAUCAUCUAGGAAUAGGUGACUAACCACACACAACCAACUCUAGGCUAGGCAAUGACUUCAUUCAAACCAAUAGAUAAGUGGUCCGACAAUGGCUCCACAAACAUGCAUCGGGAAGAGAACCAUCAAAUCCUCAACGUAUUAAUACAUAAUCAAUGGAUCAAGAAAAAUCAAAGAUUUAUUCUACAAUUAGCAUGACUAACAUGCAACCACUUUAAACCACAUCUAGGCUUUGUGGCUACUAAAACACACGAUAGAAGAGAGAGACAUGUAAGCCAUUCUGGCUAUGUAAAGACUUCCCCCAAAAAUCCAUAUAAAAGUACCAAUAUUCAUUUCUUUGAGAACUGGUUUCUCAACAUAAACAAUCAUUCUUUGCAAAGAUAGUUGGAGCUAUCCACCAACCGCUCAACAACUUAAAUUCAAAUUGAUGAUUACCUUGUACCCCAAAACACGCAAUUCACACUCCUCUUAGAAACAUCCUCAAUAAGGCAUAUAUAACAAUAUUAUUGUAAUAAAACUCAACCAUGAAAAACAUGGUGAAAACAAGAUAGGCAUACUUGUAUAUCACAAGCAUAAUAACAACUUCAUUCUCAGAAAUGACCAGCGAUAUCUACAGCAUUAAACAAACAAUAUUAAAAUUUCAGAAAUAAAUUAUAUCAAGCAUUAAGCCGUAAACAACUUACCACAUCACCGUAAAGGAAUAGGGAGGGGUGAGGUUAUUGUCAUCUGCACUUCAAAGACACUAACAUAUAUCAAAGAUAUUUAAACCCAUACCCUUCCUAUAUGUGCGAGUGUGUCAAAUUUAUCUUCAAAUUUCCAAGAAUCUAAAGCCUAUCCUCUGAUACCAACUGUAACACCCCGGGAUCCUCAAACACCCAGAAUGCUACUAAACUACACAUCUAACAUUCAUAUAUAAAAUUUCGACAGCAUCCCCUUUGAAAAUUACAUAAACGGGGAAGCAACAAAAUAUAAAUAGAUAUCAUGAUAUGAGAACAUAAUAGACAUUAAUAAUCUGCUAGCAAUGGAAAGACAAACAUAACGGCAUGAACUAAAUCAACCAGUGCGCACAACUAGUUACAAACAACAUCCUUUGACAAGAAGUUUCUAAUUAAAUCAUGACUGCGCCUAAGCAGCGUUAUUAUGAGAGUGAAGGUGGAUGUGCUGCUACUUCCCACUUCCCUUGAUGAGCAACAAGCACCUGCAUUGAGUAAUGCAAGAGUGAGAUGAAACAUCUCAGCAAGCGAAUUGUUUUGACAAGAUAUUUAAACCACAAAUUGAAUUAAUCAACAUUUUAAAAGAAUCACAAUUAAGAUAAGAAAUUCCUGUAGAUAUAGAACUCAG
rnacentral:lncRNA from 1 species